rnacentral:rRNA from 1 species
UACGGAGGGUGCAAGCGUUAUCCGGAUUCACUGGGUUUAAAGGGUGCGUAGGUGGGUUGGUAAGUCAGUGGUGGAAUCCCCGAGCUUAACUUGGGAACUGCCAUUGAUACUAUCAGUCUUGAAUACCGUGGAGGUCAGCGGAAUAUGUCAUGUAGCGGUGAAAUGCUUAGAUAUGACAUAGAACACCAAUUGCGAAGGCAGCUGACUACACGAAUAUUGACACUGAGGCACGAAAGCGUGGGGAUCAAACAGG